AUUGAACGCUGGCGGCAUGCUUUACACAUGCAAGUCGAACGGUAACAGGGUGCUUGCACCGCUGACGAGUGGCGAACGGGUGAGUAAUGCGUCGGAACGUGCCGAGUAGUGGGGGAUAACGCAGCGAAAGUUGUGCUAAUACCGCAUACGUACUGAGGUAGAAAGUGGGGGACCUUCGGGCCUCACGCUAUUCGAGCGGCCGACGUCAGAUUAGGUAGUUGGUGGGGUAAAGGCCCACCAAGCCAACGAUCUGUAGCUGGUCUGAGAGGACGACCAGCCACACUGGGACUGCGACACGGCCCAGACUCCUACGGGAGGCAGCAGUGGGGAAUUUUGGACAAUGGGCGCAAGCCUGAUCCAGCAAUGCCGCGUGCAGGAAGAAGGCCUUCGGGUUGUAAACUGCUUUUGUACGGAACGAAAAGGUUUGGGUUAAUACCCUGGGCCGAUGACGGUACCGUAAGAAUAAGCACCGGCUAACUACGUGCCAGCAGCCGCCGUAA
rnacentral:rRNA from 1 species